UACGUAGGGUGCAAGCGUUGCCCGGAUUUAUUGGGCGUAAAGGGCGCGUAGGCGGCUCUGCACGUUCGUUGUGAAAUCGCCCGGCUCAACUGGGCGGGGUCAGCGGAUACGGCAGAGCUUGAGCAAGCUAGGGGGCAAUGGAAUUCCCGGUGUAGUGGUGGAAUGCGUAGAUAUCGGGAGGAACACCAGUGGCGAAGGCGGUGGCCUGGGGCUUUGCUGACGCUGAUGCGCGAAAGCGUGGGGAGCGAUCCGG
rnacentral:rRNA from 1 species